UACGUAGGGUGCGAGCGUUGCCCGGAUUUAUUGGGCGUAAAGAGCUCGUAGGCGGUUUGUUGCGUCGGAUGUGAAAACCCGGGGCUCAACCCCGGGCCUGCAUUCGAUACGGGCAGACUAGAGUUCGGUAGGGGAGUCUGGAAUUCCUGGUGUAGCGGUGAAAUGCGCAGAUAUCAGGAGGAACACCGGUGGCGAAGGCGGGUCUCUGGGCAACAACUGACGCUGAGGAGCGAAAGCGUGGGGAGCGAACAGG
rnacentral:rRNA from 1 species